ensembl:lncRNA
CCUCAUUUAAGGGUUGGCAGUGGGGGCAAGGGUGUUUUGCUGGAGAUCCAUGUGAAUCUGAGGCCUUUUGAAGUGAAUUUCCCAAUGAGUUGGUGCUGGAAUUGAAAACCCAUCAGCCACAAUCCUGCAUGUGUGAGAGAAAAAGUCCCCUGGUAUCCAUCCCUACCUAAGAAAUCUUGGAGAUACGUCUGCAAGCUUCAAACAUCACCCUCCUCCAUUUGGAAAUCUUUUGAAGCCAGGAAUAUUUCUGCAUGAGGACUGAAGCACCUCCAGUUGUUUAGAGGAAAUGUUAUCGCACAACAGCGGACAAAACAGAUGAGCUGCUUUACAACAGGAUGCACGAAGGAAGCCUCCAAGUGCAUGUCGGAUGGGAGAAAAUACCUCGAAACUCUCAGGGAUAACGUCGAUGGGAAGAGUUUUAAAGGCAUGAAAUUAAAAAAGAAAG